rnacentral:rRNA from 1 species
UACGUAGGGGGCAAGCGUUGUCCGGAAUUAUUGGGCGUAAAGCGCGCGCAGGCGGCUGAUUUAGUCGGGUGGUUAAGCCCGGGGCUCAACCCCGGGUCACACCGGAAACGGAUCGGCUUGAGUGCAAAAGAGGAGAGUGGAAUUCCACGUGUAGCGGUGAAAUGCGUAGAGAUGUGGAGGAACACCAGUGGCGAAGGCGACUCUCUGGGUUGCAACUGACGCUGAGGCGCGAAAGCGUGGGGAGCAAACAGG